GGAAUAUUGGACAAUGGGCGAAAGCCUGAUCCAGCAAUGCCGCGUGUGUGAAGAAGGCCCUAGGGUUGUAAAGCACUUUCAGUGGGGAAGAAAAGCAGGGUGUUAAUACCACCCUGUGCUGACGUAACCCACAGAAGAAGCACCGGCUAACUCCGCGCCAGCAGCCGCGGUAAUACGGAGGGUGCGAGCGUUAAUCGGAAUUACUGGGCGUAAAGGGCGCGUAGGCGGCGUGAUAAGCCGGUUGUGAAAGCCCCGGGCUCAACCUGGGAACGGCAUCCGGAACUGUCAGGCUAGAGUGCAGGAGAGGAAGGUAGAAUUCCCGGUGUAGCGGUGAAAUGCGUAGAGAUCGGGAGGAAUACCAGUGGCGAAGGCGGCCUUCUGGACUGACACUGACGCUGAGGUGCGAAAGCGUGGGUAGCA
rnacentral:rRNA from 1 species